rnacentral:lncRNA from 1 species
GUUGCCUGCACCACAGCUCAUGGCAACGCUGGAUCCUUAACCCACUGAGUGAGGCCAGGGAUAGAACCUGCAUCCUCAUGGAUGAUAGUCAAUUUCGUUUCUGCUGAGCCACAAUGGGAACUCCUGGAAGAAUUUUUUUUCAGUUGCUGAAUUUAGUUUAAAAACUUGGAGUUCCUGUUGUGGCUUAAUGGGUUAUGAACCUGACUAGUAUCCAUGAGAUCCCUGGCUUUGCUCAGUGGGUUAAGGAUCGGGGGUUGCCUUGAGCUGUGGUGUAGGUUGUAGAUAUGGCUCGUGUCUGGUAUUGCUGUGGCUGUGGCAUAGGCUGGCAGCUGCCCCUCUGAUUUAACCUCUAGCCUGGGAACUUCCAUAUGCUGUGUGUGUGGCUAUUAAAAAAAAAAAAAGAAAAAAUCUUUGGAAUGAUGCCUGUGAAAUACUAACAAUACUAUGCUAUCUUGAAUGCUGAAAGAUGGAAUCCUGGCACCUAUCCUCUACUUAACAAACCAGCAAAAUGUGUGAACUAGUUUUAGACUGUCUAGAGAGACCACCCUCAGGACACCAGUCCCUUAAGAAAAAAGACAGGGGUGUGAAUGUGUGUAUGUCUGAAUACCCUAUUCCCCACUUGGCAAGUCACAACGGAUAUUAGCAUAUGAAGGCCGUUGUGAACUUCUACAUGUAAGGAAUCUGCUUCCCAGCAUUCUUUGACCACAUAACUUUCUUUUGGUACCAUGAUUUGUAUUUAUUUAUUUUCAGGAAUACUCAAGUAACAUUUCAGUAGAGAAACACUGCACAAAAGAGCCCACCAGCUCUCUCUUGAAUAAAACCUUUGUUGUGUUCUUCUGGGUUUGCUGUUAUAUUGAUUAAAAUGGUAAGAACCUUGAUUUUUGAAAUCUAACCUUUUUUUUCCUUUUUAGGGCUGCACCAGCCUCGUACAGAAGUUCCUAGGCUAGGGAUUGAAUUGGAGCUGCAGCUGCUGGUCUAUACCACAGCCAGAGCAAUGCCAGAUCCGAGCCAUGUCUGCAACCUACUCCAUAGCCCUGGAUCCUUAAGCCACUGAUCAAGGCCCAGGAUCAAACCUGCAUCCUCAUGUUUACUAUCCGGGUUUGUUACCACUCAGCCAUAAUGGGAAGUCCAAUCGAACCUAAUUUAAAUCCCACUACAGCAGUAUAUCACACCAAAAUAUACUUCCAGAAGUUAUACCAUCAGCACUGUGCUGUUUUUCAAUUUUGUAUUUGAGACUGCUGUGGCUAUUUGUGCUUACAUGUGAGCAAAGAGAAAAAGGUAUGCAUCACUGGACUUCCAUUAUCCUGGAAAAUAGGUGCUUCAGCCAAUUCCACCCUAAUUAGUUUCUCAGAGAAGCUAAAAUCCUGCUUUCUGCAACCCAAUAGCUAGUUGAUUUAACAAUCAAAGUCAACGUGCUGCAUGUCAGAACAAAGUAAAAUUCAGGUGGCAGCUCAUCACUCCAGAAUUGAAAUUUAAAUAUUCUGACUUUGGGAUUUAAUUACAUGACUAACACUACUUGAGCUGAAUCAAGUGGACAAGUAUAGGCACAGGAGAUUUUUUGCUUAAUGUGAUUUGGACAUUCUCAGAUGAGAUGUACUGGCUUAGGAACAGUGAAAAACAGAAUUUGAAAAACAAGCUCAAUGUUAGAGCAUGCAAUACAAAGGCAUGCAUUAAAUGUUUCGAUGCUCAACAAAGUAUGGUUGCAUUCAUUCCUACUUGGUUGCAUAUUCAUUCAUCAAUAGAUAUUUAUUGAUGGUCUACUCUGGGCUAAGAGCCAGAUGAUGGGGAUAGAGUAGUCAAUGAAAUAGACUUCCUCCCUUCCUUCAUGUUAUUGGCCAAAUUGUGGCCCCACCCUCCACCAGCCAAAUUCAUUUAAGUCCUAACUCCCAGUAUCUCAAUGUCUUUAGAGAUAGAGUCUUAGAAUGGAGUCUCAGAAGCAUCCCUGCUGGAAACCAACUUCCAGCCUCCAGAAUUGUGAGAAAGCAAAUUUCCAUUGCUUAAGCCACCUAGCGUGAUACUUGGUGAUGAUGGCCAUAGCAAACCAAUAUGCUCAGAAAGCUUCAACUCUACUUGAAGAGACAGACCUUGGUGAAAUAAUCACAUCAAUCAACCCAGAGCUGCAGGUCUGACUGUGAACACAGAGAUCCAGCAAGAGGUGACAGAGGAGAGUGACCUGGAAGGGAGACCAAGGAGGUCUUCCCUGGGGAAGUGACACUUGCAUGAGAUGGGCAGGAGAGGAGGUAACAGAGUGAGAAGGGAGGGGCUGUGCCUUCUAGGAAGGGGAUCCAGUAUGUGCAAGGGUCCUGCGGAGAAGAACAUGAGGGACCAAUGGUAAGCAGUGUGGCUGGGGAGAGAAAGCAGGCAGGUGUAGGGGGAGAUGUGGGGCUGGCCAGGUAAUCAGAGGCCAAGCACUAGUGCUCCAGACAAGGAAGGACUUACUAUUAAGGUCAUACUCCAAGGGUCUACAAACUUGGGUGGGAAAACAUUACAUUCCUAUUUUUACUAACUUUUAACUAAAAUUCAGCAUUCCCAUCUAGUUGUAGGCGGCAAUGCAUGAUGGUAUGGUAGCAAUAUCUGCAACAACUUUUUCACCAUUUGAAAUCAGAAGUAUUUUCCUGUUGUGUUCAGACACCGUGAAAUUCAUAUGUGUUCAUCAAUUCAAUACUUAAAAUUAUGGAGUUCUUGUGCCUGGCUCUAGAUCUUGUUACUUAACACAUUUAAAGAAGCUGAGAUAGGAGUUCCCAUGGUGGCUCAGUGGUUACAAACCUGACUAGUAUCCUUGAGAAUACGUGUUUGAUCCCUGGCCUUGCUCAGUGGAUUAAGGAUCCAUCGUUGCCAUGAGCUGCGGUGUACGACACAGAUGCAGCUCAGAUCUGGCAUUGCUGUGGCUGUGAUAUAAGCCAGCAGCUACAGCUCCAAUUUGACCCCUAGCCUGGGAAAGUGCAUGCCGCAGGUACAGCCCUAAAAAGACAAAAAAAAGAAGCAGCAGCUCAGACAUUACCCCUAUGAUCCAGAUCCUCCAAGUUUAAAAUAUUUUGCUAACUGUAUUUGAAGGGAAUUGUUUCCUUUGUGAUGUUAUUUUAGGCUGUUAAAGAUAGCAUGCUGAGAUUGUUUCCAUAGGUUUUGCCAGCAUGCCAGAAGGAUCCAGGCACAAAAAGUUUAAGAAUCCUUAAGAUGUUUGUUUUGUCUUUAUUCUAAGAUUAAUUGCUAGCUGCAUCACUUUGGGCAAUUUUUUUUUAACAUCUCUGAGACUUAGUUCCCUCCUCUGUAAAAUAAAUGUUUAUAAGACUUAUAGAGGAUCCAAUGAGUCAAUACACAAAAAAGGCUUAGAAUGGACUUGGUAAGGCUUAACGAACAGUAGGAUUAUUAAUGAGACUCCACUGUGUUGUUUUGAGGGAGUAACAUGGUAGUCAGGUUGAUACUUUGAAAGAUAAUUCUGGGUCAAAUGUGGAGAAUUGUCUGAAAGAGGUCACAACAGCCAACACAUCAGACUGCUAGAGCAGAGCUGCAUUUGAAGAACGUUCUAGUCUAAAAUGAAAUUUUUCACUAGGGGAAAUUAUUCUUCAUAUCAGAUCUGAAGUAGAAGUCAGACACAUCAAUAACAAAAAAGCAGAGCCAUUCUGAUUGGAGUUGGGUGUAGGACCCGAAGUGACUUCUGCACAGCGCUUCUCUCUGCUCUCAAAAAGUCAGCUUCAAGACAUUUCCAAGAAACUCCUGAAUCCACAAAGACCAUCCUCUGUGAACUGUUCAUAGUAAUCUUCUGCUAUGCCAAUUGCGAAACUGCCAAAGCUAUUCAAAAACACCAGGUCCUUAUAAAACAGAGGGUCGUCUACUGCUCAAGUUGCCUGCAUUUUCAGCAGCAGUUGGGAUUCAUUCAUUUAUGCAAGAGCAUUUUUUGAGUGUUCACUCUGUACUUUCCUAGGUGCUGAGGAUACAGCUGCACUUACAGCGUUAAGUGAAAAAUCUAGCGGGCAGGAGGGAGGAAGCAGAAAAUAAACACAAUAAAAUAAGAAAGACGUACAUACAUCUAGAUGAUCAUGAUCUAGAUUAAUAUCUAUGAGGUCCUGACACUCUAACUGGCCAUGUUGUUCACUGAUGUAGGCCCAGGAUGCAGAAGAGCAUUUGGUAAAAUUGGUACCCCAAGUUGAAGAGAGGGAUGGAUGGAUGGCUGGAUGGAUAGACAGGUGGAGAGCUGGGUAGAUGGAAGAAUUGAUGGAUGGGUGUAUGGAGGGAAGAGUCGGUGGGUGGGUGGACUGUUGAAUACAUGGAAGGCUGUAAGGAACAUUCCGAAGAGGUGGAGAAGGCAGGAAGGAACACUAAGGGAAACGAGAUACUGAGGGAAAAGCAGAACACAUAGAAAAAGAAGUAUAUUGUUUGAGAGGAGGAAUAAAAGAUAGCAGCCUUAACCUACAAAGUUUGAUUUCCAUUUAUAUAACCCGACAAGAUGAAUAGUUUCAUCAACAUUAUCAUCACACCAUCAUCACCACCAUCGUCAUUUUGUAGAUAUUGGGACUAAGACUCUAAAACAUUGAGAGGCUUUCCCAAGGUCAGCAACUUUUAUAUCAAAGCUAAGAUUUGGACUCUUAUCUUCAUUGCCCCUUACUCUUGGGUUCCAAGACAUUUAGAACAACAACAACAACAACAGCAAAAACACACAAAUUGGCCACAUCUUCAAGAUUGCCAGGUGAGAUUCCGAAAAUGAUAUAAAAAUUAGAAGUGGGAGGAAUAAUGCCCACAUCACAAUUUCCUGGAAGAUGUUUAUUGACUUACUUGCAAUGUCUACCCUGCUAGCCCUCAAAGGGAGUCAAGGGGAGUCUUCCUGGAUGGCCCUGGUCCAAAAGGACCAGCAGAUACUGUGCUUCAAAAGGAUGCCCACAUUCAGAGCAUUUACAGGAGGAAAAAAAAUAUACGCCCAAAAUUUUUUUAACUGACUUUUUUUGUCUUUUCUAGGGCCUCAUCUGUGGCAUAUGGAGGUUCCCAGGCUAGGGAUCUAAUCGGAGCUGUAGCUGCUGGCCUACGCCAAAGCCACAGCAAUUGGGAUCCGAGCCGCAUCUGUGACCCAUGGCAACACCAGAUCCUUAACCUACUGAGCAAGGCCAGGGAUCGAACCUGCAACCCCAUGGUUACUAGUCUGAUUUGUUAAUCACUGAGCCAUGAUGGGAACUCACUGACUUUAUUUAAUCAGCAGAAAAACAAUAAAGAUGAAAAUCAGUGCUGUAAAAUACAGUCAGUUAACUAAACAAACAGGAAGCAACACGCAUUAAGAACCUGACCUUCUAUAUGCUCUAAUAUUUGAAUAUACAUUUUUU